UGGGGAAUAUUGCACAAUGGGCGCAAGCCUGAUGCAGCCACGCCGCGUGUAUGAAGAAGGCCUUCGGGUUGUAAAGUACUUUCAGCGGGGAGGAAGGGAGUAAAGUUAAUACCUUUGCUCAUUGACGUUACCCGCAGAAGAAGCACCUGCUAACUCCGUGCCAGCAGCCGCGGUAAUACGGAGGGUGCAAGCGUUAAUCGGAAUUACUGGGCGUAAAGCGCACGCAGGCGGUUUGUUAAGUCAGAUGUGAAAUCCCCUGGCUCAACUUGGGAACUGCAUCUGAUACUGGCAAGCUUGAGUGUCGUAGAGGGGGGUAGAAUUCCAGGUGUAGCGGUGAAAUGCGUAGAGAUCUGGAGGAAUACCGGUGGCGAAGGCGGCCCCCUGGACAAAAACUGACGCUCAAGUGCGAAAGCGUGGGGAGCAAACAGG
rnacentral:rRNA from 1 species